GAUGAACGCUGGCGGCGUGCCUAAUACAUGCAAGUCGAGCGAACAGAUGAGGAGCUUGCUCCUCUGACGUUAGCGGCGGACGGGUGAGUAACACGUGGAUAACCUACCUAUAAGACUGGGAUAACUUCGGGAAACCGGAGAUAAUAGCGGAUAAGAUAUUGAACCGCAUGGUUCAAUAGUGAAAGACGGUUUUGCUGUCAGUAAUAGAUGGAUCCGCGCUGCAUUAGCUAGUUGGGACGGUAACGGCUUACCAAGGCAACGAUGCGUAAACGAGCGGAGGGGCUGAUCGCCCACACUGGAACUGAGCCACGGUCCAUACGCCUACGGUAGGGAGCAGUAGGGAAUCGGCGGCAGUGGGCGAAAGCCUUACGGAGCGACGCGACGUGAGUUAUGAAGGUCCUCGGAUCGUAAAACUCUGUUAUUGGUGAAGAACAAAUGUCUAAGUAGCCAUGGACGUCUUGACGGUACCUAAUCAGAAAGCCACGGCUAACUACGUG
rnacentral:rRNA from 1 species